GUCCUAUCUUAUAUCAGCAAGUACAUGUGAGUAUCUGGGAAGUAAAUUGUGGUGUUUCAUCAACUAUAAAUCAUCACUAGAUGUAUGAUGCCUAACACAUGCACCUUCCUUAACUAUUAGUCACAAAUAGCAUAUAAAACCACAUGCAUGCCUAGGCAAGGACAAAUUAUUCCUAACCAUUUCUUAGUUCUCUUAUUUUUCAGCUUAUUUGGCAUGACAAAUGCAAAUUUGAAAUCACUGACUCCACAGUUUAAUUGAUAAAGUAAUGCUUCAUAGGUCCCAAAGUAUUUCCCUGCUCUCAUAAAUUAAAUAAUUUAAAGGAAAGAUACAUAUCAUGCGAAUAUUCACAUAUAAUAUUUGCUAUUUACUUUGCACCAUUAUUGCAAUAUCUUUUAGUGUUGGAAGAGGGAAGGAAAAAUUUUCACUACAGAUAGUGAUGAAAUUAAAAAAUAACAAAAGCUUGGCAAAAACUUCUCAAAGGGGAAAAUAUUA
rnacentral:misc_RNA from 1 species